AUUCUGAAUUGGUAAUUUACAAUAAUAAAAGAAGGGGAAUUUUGGAAAACCAUGGACCAUCUUAGGUUGCGAGAAGGAGAACCAUGAUCUAGUCAAGCUCUGUAGACCGACCACUGUUAUUAAGGAAAUGAUCAAACAAUGGGAAGACUGGACCUAGAGAAUGGUUAGAUAUCAUUUUACCUUGCAAUUUCGUACAACAGUGACAGCCCUGGACUCAUAUGCAAUAAAGUCAAGCUCUGUAGCCGCCUAGUUUGAUAAGUCGUCAUGGUAGUAUACUUGCUAUAUUUCUGAUCAUUUUCCUUUGGUUUAGCUUAUGGGUUUUGCUCUCUCUGAAUCUCUCUAUGACAAUCCCUCCAGAAGCACUGUUUUUGGUGAAUCUGUUCGGUAAAUGGUUGUUUGAUAUAUGGAGUUUUAUGGUCCAACUUCCGAACAAUCUACUGGAACUGGAGAAAACCAUAAGAGUGCUCAAGGCAAAGCGAAAUGAUGUGCAGCGAAGGGUCAAAACAGAGGAGGAAAUAAGAGGUCACCAGCGGUAUGAACAAGUCCAGCUAUGGCUCCAAGACGUCUCCAGUGUGGAAAAUGAAGUCGAUGAUUUCUUGCGUAAAAACGAUGCUGAGUUUAGAAAGGCUCUUCGUUCUGGGAAUCGACCCAUCUACAAAUAUGCCAAAAGGGUUUCGAAAAUGUUGAAAGAGAUUUCUGAUCUCAAUUCUAGAGGAUCUUUUAACAUCGUGGCUGGGCCAGCUACCUAAGGUGCAGUGCAGGGGAAUGAUAACCAUGCUUCCAUAUGGUCGUUAUAUUGUUCUGUUUGGCUCUCUUUUAGGCAAAAAGAGCCCAAUAUUUACAAUUGGGUGUGUGUCAUGUGUGGCUAUGUACUCUAGGAGUGUUUAUUGAAAUGUGAGUAAGACAAAGGCUGACUAUUCAGUUUCCCCAUCCUCA